GAGCCCCAGCGGGGAAGGAGGAAGAAGAAGAGGAGGAGGCGGCGGUGCGGGGCUGCGUCCCGGGCGGCGGUAAAUCCUCGGAGGCAGCGCUUCCCAACCCCGGCCGCCUCCCGCCAGGGGCUGCGGGGACGCAUCCAGAGGGCAGCGCCGCGAGCCCCCGGCCGAGAGCGGGGAGGGAAGGGGCGCCGAGCCCCCCUCCCCCGGUCCUGCUCCGGGCACGGACAAAUCCCUUUAAUGGAGACGCACUGCUGGGAGUGGGGGGAAGAAGCGGAUCACAGCGCGCUGGCCCUCAAGGAGAAAAAUCGGGGGGAUUAAUUAAUUUAAAAAAAUAAAAAAAAAUAACGGGGGCUGCGGGCGCAGCGCCCAGACCCACACCUGCCGCCGCGCUGCGCCGACUGAGCGGGCGAGCCCCGCCGCGCCAGGUUUAAAUACCCCCACCGAGGCCACGCCCCCUUAGCCACGCCCAUAAGCCGUUAAGCCACGCCCCUCGUGAGCCGUUGCUCCGCCCCCGCUCCUCCCAACGGGCGGUACCGGUUCCACCCCCUCGUGUGCCGCCCCGCCUAUGGGGGCGCCGGUUGCUAUUGGCUGGCUUGGGCUGUCAGUCAGGGGGGCGCCGCGGUUGAGGAUUGGUGGCUGCGCGUCCGAGAGCCCCGGCCCUUCUGCACUUCAUAAAUACUAGCUAGAAAAUCAUACCGCUGAAUUACACGACUUUAAGUGAGUUUGUGGUUCAGUAGCGGCCCAUUUCACAGUCUUACAGGGAGCUGCAUGAUACAGAACUGUAGAAAAACAAGAUGGAACAGACAAACCCCCCAUGUCAUCUAGUCCAGCAGUUUGCCCAAGGAAAGAGUCCAGGGGACACUAAUAUCAGCGGAACUGCCUUGACAGAAAAUUGGAUAUUCUACAAUGUGACAGUGAGGCCACCACUUGUGAUUCAGCAUAGAGUGAACACCAAGGAUUGUGCUUCUGUUCAGCACAAAGGUGACACAGCAUUCAUUUGGGUGGGCAGCAGGUCACGCAUUUUGCUACAGAAAGUACGUGUGUAA
rnacentral:lncRNA from 1 species